GAUGAACGCUGACAGAAUGCUUAACACAUGCAGGUCUACUUGAUCCUUCGGGUGAUGGUGGCGGACGGGUGAGUAACGCGUAAAGAACUUGCCUUGCAGUCUGGGACAACGUCUGGAAACGGACGCUAAUACCGGAUAUUAUGAUUGAAUCGCAUGAUUUAAUUAUGAAAGCUAUAUGCGCUGCGAGAGAGCUUUGCGUCCCAUUAGUUAGUUGGUGAGGUAACGGCUCACCAAGACGAUGAUGGGUAGCCGGCCUGAGAGGGUGAACGGCCACAAGGGGACUGAGACACGGCCCUUACUCCUACGGGAGGCAGCAGUGGGGAAUAUUGGACAAUGGACCAAAAGUCUGAUCCAGCAAUUCUGUGUGCACGAUGAAGUUUUUCGGAAUGUAAAGUGCUUUCAGUUGGGAAGAAGAAAGUGACGGUACCAACAGAAGAAGCGACGGCUAAAUACGUGCCAGCAGCCGCGGUAAUACGUAUGUCGCAAGCGUUAUCCGGAUUUAUUGGGCGUAAAGCGCGUCUAGGCGGUUUGGUAAGUCUGAUGUGAAAAUGCGGGGCUCAACUCCGUAUUGCGUUGGAAACUGCCAAACUAGAGUACUGGAGAGGUAGGCGGAACUACAAGUGUAGAGGUGAAAUUCGUAGAUAUUUGUAGGAAUGCCGAUGGGGAAGCCAGCCUACUGGACAGAUACUGACGCUAAAGCGCGAAAGCGUGGGUAGCAAACAGG
rnacentral:rRNA from 1 species